rnacentral:rRNA from 2 species
UUAGGUUAAGUUAUGAAGGGCGCAUGGUGAAUGCCUUGGUACUAGGAGCCGAUGAAGGACGGGACUAACACCGAUAUGCUUCGGGGAGCGGUAAGUACGCUUUGAUCCGGAGAUUUCCGAAUGGGGAAACCUAAUCAGCUUAGUCGCUGAUUGCUUGACUAGUGAAUACAUAGCUAGCAAGAGGUAGACGCAGUGAACUGAAACAUCUUAGUAGCUGCAGGAAGAGAAAGAAAUAUCGAUUCCCUGAGUAGCGGCGAGCGAAAAGGGAAGAGCCCAAACCAACAAGCUUGCUUGUUGGGGUUGUAGGACUGAACAUUAGAGUUACCAAAGUGCGACGUAGUCGCAACAGUUGGGAAGCUGUGCCAUAGAGGGUGAAAGCCCAGUAC